CUACGGGUGGCUCCAGUGAGGAAUAUUGCACAAUGGGGGGAACCCUGAUGCAGCAACGCCGCGUGGAGGAUGACGCAUUUCGGUGUGUAAACUCCUUUUAUAUGUCAAGAAAAUGACGGUAGCAUAUGAAUAAGCACCGGCUAACUCCGUGCCAGCAGCCGCGGUAAUACGGAGGGUGCAAGCGUUACUCGGAAUCACUGGGCGUAAAGGACGCGUAGGCGGGUUGGAAAGUCAGGUGUGAAAUCCUACAGCUUAACUGGAGAACUGCACUUGAAACUUCUAAUCUAGAGUAUGGGAGGGAAGAUGGAAUUAGUGGUGUAGGGGUAAAAUCCGUAGAUAUCACUAGGAAUACCUAAAGCGAAGGCGAUCUCCUGGAACAUUACUGACGCUAAGGCGUGAAAGCGUGGGGAGCAAACAGGAUUAGAUACCCUAGUAGUC
rnacentral:rRNA from 1 species